UGGGGAAUAUUGGACAAUGGGCGAAAGCCUGAUCCAGCCAUGCCGCGUGUGUGAAGAAGGUCUUCGGAUUGUAAAGCACUUUAAGUUGGGAGGAAGGGCAUUAACCUAAUACGUUAGUGUUUUGACGUUACCGACAGAAUAAGCACCGGCUAACUCUGUGCCAGCAGCAGCGGAAAUACAGAGGGUGCAAGCGUUAAUCGGAAUUACUGGGCGUAAAGCGCGCGUAGGUGGUUUGUUAAGUUGGAUGUGAAAUCCCCGGGCUCAACCUGGGAACUGCAUUCAAAACUGACUGACUAGAGUAUGGUAGAGGGUGGUGGAAUUUCCUGUGUAGCGGUGAAAUGCGUAGAUAUAGGAAGGAACACCAGUGGCGAAGGCGACCACCUGGACUAAUACUGACACUGAGGUGCGAAAGCGUGGGGAGCAAACA
rnacentral:rRNA from 1 species